UGUUUGUGCAGAGUAAAGGAGCGAAGGAGAAGGUGGUGACGAGGAUCGUGGUCUCUCGCUGUGAAGUCGACCUGAUGAAAAUCCGCUCAGAGUUCAAGAAGAAGCACAAGAGAAAUCUGUACCAGACCAUCGCUGAGCACACUAAAGGAGACUACCAGAAGGCUCUGCUGAGUCUGUGCGGAGGAGACGACUGAGCUCUGAGUGGACUCUGUUUCCCAGAAGGCCGCUGGGUCUUAAAACAUCAGCUAACUGCAGAUUUGUUUUAACUCUGUCCAUGAGAGCCUUUUUGUUGUUUCUUCUCUGUUAAACAGAUCACCUCCAUCUCUCUGAGCAGCUUCAGCUUUUAAAUAAAAUCGUUUCACC